AAAUACGGACGAGGUUACAAAAUUAUCGACUAUCGUAGUAAUUGGUCCGAUUGCGAUUCGAACGGCGGUUUGUUUGAGAUUAAUUAUUAACCGAUAUUGUUACGACCACCGAUACAGGUACAAUGGGAGCCCGGGCCCCGUCGACGCCACCUCGAAUCCGUCACCGAGUGGUCCACUAUUGCGGGCGAGACGUUUGGAUGGUAAAAAGGAAGGCGUAAUAUUUAAUGUACAUCCGUACGCGACGAUUGAUCGUCGAUGACGAAAAAUGAUUCUGAGCGGCGUUCGGUUGUACGAAUGUUGUUGACUCGGUUAACGGUUUGAAAACAAUGCGUUUCGUAAAUGGGACGUUCUCGCCCGAAAUCAGCUUCCGUUUCACCCCCUAGACAGACUAAUAUCGUGAUUUAUGUCGGCAGCACCGUGCGGAAAACGGGGUUCACCGUGUUUAUGUCGUGCAAUCGCGUAGGUGUAUCACAUGUCUACGUUUAUCUUUUCCUCGCGUACCUUUACACAGUAUUUAUUACGAACACAAGAUUAUAUUCCUCAUAAUAAUAUCAAUUCGAAUUUCGUUUGAACUCUGUAAUCAAUUUUAAAAACAACGCAAUUACCCGGCGUGCUUGUCUCUUUCUCGUCGAGAUCCAAUGUAUAUGUAUACCUUGGUAUAUACGAUAUAAUAUGUAUACAGGGUUCUCGGUUGAAUUAUUUUAUGUUCGUUAACGCCAACCUCGUAGAGUAGAUGGAAAUUCGAUUGAUCUUUUUAGGUUAAGUACCCCGCCCGAAUUCAAUUGUCUGACGAAUAAUAACAAUGUACACGCAUACGUAGGCAGGUCUCGACUCUCGGUAUAAAUUAAUAUUGUGUAUUUAGAUCGGUACUCGCGAUACAGAGUUACAGGGCUUUUAUUGCCGUUACAGGCACUCUAAAAGUCUCUUUCGGCUGCAAUACGGUACAUUUUAUAAACGAACGUAUAUAAAUAACAAUAAUAAUAAUAAUAAUACGUUUAACGCUAUAAGCGUGUAUAUAGGUACACUAAUUCCGAAUCCGUUUAUUUUGAAUCUCCUGGGAUAGAGAAUAAUUUUACAAUACACAUCACCGAGUUUAAUACACAUACUAAUUGUAACAAAAAUGAUGGACAUACUUCACACUUGGGCGCAACCACUAUUGCAGGU